GUUAUCCAGUUGUAUACCGGACAUUUUGCCCAGAAGGAUACUGUGAGAGACAGUAUGAAAAGCUUUGCUGAAGUCCAAAAAGAUUACACCUGCUGGGUUUCCUAGAUCAAGCAGGAUGUGCAAGUCAUCUCAACUACAAUGCUACAAAAGUAAAAAAAAAAAAAAAGCAUAACCAAGAAGCAAUUUUAAAGAAUACUUAUCCACAAUAUCUUUCCAUUGCUGUUGAAGAAGAAAGAAAGGAAAAUAAAGGAAUAGUUACUGUGAAAGGAA